GCUGAAUAUAACACAAUGUAAAGAGAAACGCUGAAAAGUGAUAAAAAGAUAAGUAACUGAGUUUAUAUUGAGGCUUAUACCGUUUAUACCUGUUACGUUUUUCAUCAUCUUUUUUUUUCCUGCCUUGUUAUCGGAGGAUUAAUAAAAUCAAUAAGAUUAUAACGUACAAAUGCAAAACAAAUGCCAGUUAAUUUACAAGUGUACGAUUUUCAUUAAAUCAGUGUACAAACAAUAUCUGUGUACAACAUCUCUAGAAAAAUAAAAUGAAAAUUAGUACGAAAAUAACAACAUAAAUUUCGAUGACUUGUCCAAAUCGGUUCAUUGUGUCAAUUGUGUCAAUUGUGUCAAUGAUUCUCAACCUGUUUACAAUAAAUACACGCCCGCAAGGCUAAUCCAUUAUCAAAAGUACUCGGUUUUUUUUACCAACGGAAAGAAAGGGAAUAUGAUUGCUAUGUGUCUAGAGUUGUAUAGCUUUCAGGUGGAGGCAGAGAAAAAUUUUUAUUUUGAUAAAAAAAACUCCCAAAAUUGAACUGUAUACAAUAGACGUUUCGUUUUUUGAAUGCAUAAUGCCGUACAAACCUCGUUCUUUUGUGUACAAUAUUUCGAGGAUAAAAAUGUUCACGCAGCUGAAAUACACAUGAAAAUAGGGCCACAAAUG